UACGUAGGGGGCAAGCGUUGUCCGGAAUCAUUGGGCGUAAAGAGCGCGUAGGCGGCCCAGUAAGUCCGCUCUGAAAGUCAGGGGCUCAACCCCUGGAUGCGGGUGGAUACUGCUGGGCUAGAGUCCGGAAGAGGCGAGUGGAAUUCCUGGUGUAGCGGUGAAAUGCGCAGAUAUCGGGAGGAACACCUGUGGCGAAAGCGGCUCACUGGACAGUAACUGACGCUGAUGCACGAAAGCUAGGGGAGCAAACAGG
rnacentral:rRNA from 1 species